AUGGUUCGCAACCCAGCUCCAAGUUUAAGUGGUCAGGGUCUGGAGUCCAUUCCCUCCACUCCAGUGCUGAAAAACCCUCAGGAAGCCCUCAGUCUGUCCUGUAGAGGAUCUGGUUUCACUUUUGGCACCUUUGGAAUGCACUGGAUCAGGCAGCCUGCAGGAAAAGCACUAGAAUGGAUUGGGACUAUUUGGAAUGAUGCAAGUAGAACUGCUUAUGUCAGCAGUGUGGAAGGACGUAUAGAAAUCACCAGAGACAACAGCAACAGCAUGGUGUAUCUGAGACUUUCUAACCUAAAGCCAGAGGACUCUGCUGUGUAUUACUGUGCCAAAAAUGCACAGUGGUUUAAGUAA